CCAAGUGCGAGGGCAUAUAGUCCUCGCUUUUCUCGACUGUAAGGCGGUCGAGGAAUAAGAGCUGGGCAAGACCGGUGCCAGCCGCCGCGGUAAUACCGGCAGCUCAAGUGAUGACCGAUAUUAUUGGGCCUAAAGCGUCCGUAGCCGGCCACGAAGGUUCAUCGGGAAAUCCGCCAGCUCAACUGGCGGGCGUCCGGUGAAAACCACAUGGCUUGGGACCGGAAGGCUCGAGGGGUACGUCCGGGGUAGGAGUGAAAUCCCGUAAUCCUGGACGGACCACCGAUGGCGAAAGCACCUCGAGAAGACGGAUCCGACGGUGAGGGACGAAAGCUAGGGUCUCGAACCGGAUUAGAUACCCGGGUAGUCCUAGCUGUAAACGAUGCUCGCUAGGUGUGACACAGGCUACGAGCCUGUGUUGUGCCGUAGGGAAGCCGAGAAGCGAGCCGCCUGGGAAGUACGUCCGCAAGGAUGAAACUUAAAGGAAUUGGCGGGG
rnacentral:rRNA from 1 species